rnacentral:rRNA from 1 species
UUCGGUUGGGCGAGUAAAGUGGCGCACGGGUGAGUAACGCGUAGGCAACCUACCCUUGAAUUUGGGAUAACAGUGCGAAAGUGCUGCUAAUACCGGAUACGACCCUUUUGUGCUGGGCAAAAGGGUGAAAGUCGGCCACUGGAACAAGCCGACGUUCGGGGAUGGGCCUGCGUCCUAUCAGCUGGUUGGUAGGGUAACGGCCUACCAAGGCGACGACGGGUAGCUGGUCUGAGAGGAUGAUCAGCCACACUGGCACUGGAACACGGGCCAGACUCCUACGGGAGGCAGCAGUGAGGAAUUUUGCGCAAUGGCCGCAAGGCUGACGCAGCAACGCCGCGUGGGUGAAGAAGGCCUUCGGGUCGUAAAGCCCUGUCAGGUGGGAAGAACGACACGGGGAGGAAUAUGCUCUGUGAGUGACGGUACCACCAGAGGAAGCACCGGCUAACUCCGUGCCAGCCGCCGCGGUAAUUCA